ACUGAGGGUAGCGGAGAAAUUCCAAUCGAACCUGGAGAUAGCUGGUUCUCUCCGAAAUAGCUUUAGGGCUAGCCUCAAGUGAUGAUUAUUGGAGGUAGAGCACUGUUUGGACGAGGGGCCCCUCUCGGGUUACCGAAUUCAGACAAACUCCGAAUGCCAAUUAAUUUAACUUGGGAGUCAGAACAUGGGUGAUAAGGUCCGUGUUCGAAAGGGAAACAGCCCAGACCACCAGCUAAGGUCCCAAAAUAUAUGUUAAGUGGAAAAGGAUGUGGCGUUGCCCAGACAACUAGGAUGUUGGCUUAGAAGCAGCCAUCAUUUAAAGAGUGCGUAAUAGCUCACUAGUCGAGUGACACUGCGCCGAAAAUGUACCGGGGCUAAACAUAUUACCGAAGCUGUGGAUUGUCCUUUGGACAAUGGUAGGAGAGCGUUCUAAGGGCGUUGAAGCAUGAUCGUAAGGACAUGUGGAGCGCUUAGAAGUGAGAAUGCCGGUGUGAGUAGCGAAAGACGGGUGAGAAUCCCGUCCACCGAUUGACUAAGGUUUCCAGAGGAAGGCUCGUCCGCUCUGGGUUAGUCGGGUCCUAAGCUGAGGCCGACAGGCGUAGGCGAUGGAUAACAGGUUGAUAUUCCUGUACCACCUAUAAUCGUUUUAAUCGAUGGGGGGACGCAGUAGGAUAGGCGAAGCGUGCGAUUGGAUUGCACGUCUAAGCAGUAAGGCUGAGUAUUAGGCAAAUCCGGUACUCGUUAAGGCUGAGCUGUGAUGGGGAGAAGACAUUGUGUCUUCGAGUCGUUGAUUUCACACUGCCGAGAAAAGCCUCUAGAUAGAAAAUAGGUGCCCGUACCGCAAACCGACACAGGUAGUCAAGAUGAGAAUUCUAAGGUGAGCGAGCGAACUCUCGUUAAGGAACUCGGCAAAAUGACCCCGUAACUUCGGGAGAAGGGGUGCUCUUUAGGGUUAACGCCCAGAAGAGCCGCAGUGAAUAGGCCCAAGCGACUGUUUAUCAAAAACACAGGUCUCUGCUAAACCGUAAGGUGAUGUAUAGGGGCUGACGCCUGCCCGGUGCUGGAAGGUUAAGAGGAGUGGUUAGCUUCUGCGAAGCUACGAAUCGAAGCCCCAGUAAACGGCGGCCGUAACUAUAACGGUCCUAAGGUAGCGAAAUUCCUUGUCGGGUAAGUUCCGACCCGCACGAAAGGCGUAACGAUUUGGGCACUGUCUCAACGAGAGACUCGGUGAAAUCAUAGUACCUGUGAAGAUGCAGGUUACCCGCGACAGGACGGAAAGACCCCGUGGAGCUUUACUGUAGCCUGAUAUUGAAAUUCGGCACAGCUUGUACAGGAUAGGUAGGAGCCUUUGAAACGUGAGCGCUAGCUUACGUGGAGG
rnacentral:rRNA from 1 species